UUACCCUGGAAGGAAAACAAAAAAAAAUACAGCUCUGUUAUGUGCCUUGCACUGCCCACACAUUCCUCUCUCUGCUGGUAAAAACAAGCACACAGCAAGCAGGCAUACAGCAAAUGCAGUGGGCCCCGUCGUGUUUGAACCUUUGGGAUUGCAGUGGUUUUCCCAAAUGCCUCCCAAAGGCUUGGGACAGUCCCUUUAGGGUAAGACCAUGCAUGACAAAGGGCAGCAUGUGCCCUUACCCCUGCAAGCUCUUCUCUGUGAGUCAGGGACCACUUGGUCCCCUGGAUGCUGUUAGGAGUCACCGUGCAUCUGCUGAUGAAAUCAGAGGCCUCAGCCACCCAAAAGCAAGUCAGCGGACUGGUCCCUGGAACCAGAUCCCCUCUCCUGCUCGAGGAAUUCAGCAGCCUGCUCCACAGAUUCGCCAUCUCUCUCACCUUAUCCUUCCAGGACCCGGUAACUCGGCUCCGCAGGGAACUCAGACGCCGCAUCACCUUGGUGCCUUUCUCUGCUUUGUCACUCUUUCCACUGUCCUCAUUUCUGAAAGGAGACAAAAAGCAUCUUAACUAAGGGAAGUUAACCAGCCAAGCACGGUUCAAGGAGAUCACUGAUGAAGUUCGUCUGAAGCUUUACUUUAGGGCCCCAUCCCUGGGCUUUCAAUCCGUUGGGGGAUCUGGUUCAGCAUCAGUCACAUCGUUCAUGGGGAGACUUGCAAAUAAGGUAAUGAGCUUUCAGAUUACGGCUGGCACUGUGUUUUUGUUCAGUGCCAUGCACAAUGAAGCCCCACUCUGGGCAGAACCGCUGCAGAAACCAGUGUCCACAGUAGUAGCGGGGUGCUUGAGCUUCGAUGGAAUGGGGCUAGAAAUCAGUCUGCUCCAGGGACACCGAGUCUACUGCCCACCUCACUUACUCGUUAGACAGGAACUCAAACCAGGUGAGGUUCUGCUGGGAGGAAUCACUGCCUUCUUGCACACAAACUCUCUGCUUUACCCUGUGCAGGGAGAAGACAUCAGACACAGCAAAAAAAAACACAAACACAAGAACAGAGCUUCUCCCAGACACACUCACCCGUGAUACUGCUUCAGCUCCUGAAGUACUUGCUGGACAAUUAGCCUACCAGGGACGGGGCAGAAGAAAAACAAAAGAUCAGAAAAUUUCUUGGCAAACGUGUCCUGCACCCCACAUAGAGUCAGGCACUGGUUUAUGACCAGCUACAGAGCCGUGCCCCAGCAUGGUGGGAUCUCCCUCAUGGUCUGAUCCUGGAUCUCCGGUAGCUCAGAUGCACUCAAGAAUCUCAGCCACCUCCAGAAGCCAGGACUGACAAUACCUACACGUGGUCUGGGGACACGUGAUCCUUCUCCAGCAUCUCCAGAGCAGGGGGUUCGACACCUGGAACAGAAAACACCCUCAGCAGCUUGCAAGCAAGAAAUCAGCUUUCUGAAGAAACCAGCGCAGGUUUUGGCGUGGGCUUGAAGGAAGCUGAGCAGCCAAAGAUGUCAGCGGACAGCAAAAGCCACCGAACCCCCAAAACAGGCUGGGGCUGAGACCAAGGGCUGUAGGAAAAAAAAAAAAACUCCCUUCUGCAGCCACCCAGGCAAGCCGGUCACUGGAGAAAACACCCACAGCUGGUGACAGCAGGGGACCCCACCCAAGCAGCCAGUGCUGGAACAAGCUGUGCCCGCCAGGGAUUUGCAGCCCAGGAGCAACGUGCCCUGACCCCAGGCCCCAGCUGCCUUGUUGGGGCAGGAUGCUGCGGGUCCCCGGGCGACCCCAGAGCCAGGCAGGGGAUGCGUCAGAGGAAACGCAAGGAUCCGAGCUCUCACCACACAGCUCACAUCCUGCAAGCAUCAAACACCCCCCGAAUUUCCACCGAGGAAAGGCCACAACAAACACGGCAGGGACAAAGGCACCGGUCAGAACGAAACAAUCCCAGGAGGAAGGAAAGAGCAGAGCAUCUGAGCAUUUCCUAGCAAUCAGGGGACAGAGACUGCUGGGAAACCACCGAGAGCAUCACAGGCAAGAAACAAGAAUCAUUCAGUCUCCUUCUGGCUCUUCCCUACUGGCCCAGCACCAGCUGCCCUCUACGUGCAGCCCUGCAGGAUGACCAGAGCCGUAGGGUAAAACUUCUGCAGAGCAAGUGCUGAGCUCGCCGUGCCAAAAUCGGAUGAAGUGCAGCACUUGGCCUGGUCUGGGCCCCAGCUCAUCGGCCGUUGGCAGCAGCGGGGAUUGGCUCAUGUGGCCCGGGCUGAAGGAGGGGAGAAGAUAAGCCGUCCGACACCGUAACGCACUGUACAGCGAGCUGCUGCCUUAUCGCUGCCUUUGGGGCCUGGUUUUUGGGCACGCAGGGCACGGGGAGCAGGGAGGCAGCACGAGCCUCAGCUCGCUGUCAGUGGAAAGGUCUCAGCAGGGCUCAGAGGAGCUGCAGCCUCUCAGAUACCCUCCCAGCCACGACCUAUGGUCACUGUGCAGCUUCCUCAGCAACUGCUGGGGAGAGGGCUGCCCCGAGAUGCUCCCCAAAGCAGCCUGGUUAUGAGCAGAGGCUGAUUUAUUUAUUACAGCCCUGAGCCCAGCUGCGCCUCCCCAGUGAGCCCAGGCACGGCACUGCGGGGCUGGGGCUGAGGAGCUGGGAGCUGCUCAGGGCUCAGUGUGGGUCAGAGCCUCCUGACCCUGCCUCCUGCUCUGCACAAACCUUCCUGCGGCCGGCUGCUUGGGAUCCCCUUCCCCUGAGUGUCCACAGAGGAAGAGGAGAGCUGGGGGAGGAAAAGGCCGACACACAUCAGGCGCUCGAAUGCCACAGAUAACGAUAACCACCAGCCCGAGGGCAGUGUUUGCAGCAGGGGCAGCAGUGUCCAGCUCCUCCAGGGCCACGAACACCCCACAUCCUGGGGUUCUCACUUCUCUCUUUCCAAGCCAUGGCACUGCGAGCAGGAAUGAGGCUGGCUCACACCACUGCCGGCAUUUCCCACCCCUGCUGUGGGACAAGCGGGUGCCACAUGAGCCACCAGGGCUCAGCCCGUGCCCCGAACACGGGGGCUCAGCUCCUCAGCCUGCUCUGAGGGACCGGAGGAGCCUCUUUCCCCGGCAUCUGCUCUGACACCAAAGUCCCAGCACACAACUUGAGGCUCAGCCCUCGGCAGCUGCCUGCGAAUGCCGGGACCUCCGGCUCACUGGCAGCAGCAAAGCUCGGUUAUUACAAAACCAUAAGGCUGCUGUUUAACCCGUUACCCAGCUCCCCAAAGCAUUUACAUGCCCUGAGAAGGUGAAGCAGAAGGAAAAGUGUCACUGACAUCUGAGCAGUGGCCCCACAGAGAGGAGCAGUGGGUGCCCAGCAUGUCAGGGACCCCCGUGCUCUCUGCCACCCGCUCGCCCUGGCCGCCCUGCAGCAGCGGCUCGCGGCGCCCGGCUCAGCCCUCUCUCCCCACGCACAGGCCGUUACCUCGCUUAAAGGACCAUCUCUUCUUCCAGCGCUUCGAGAACGACGGCCAGGAGUGAUUGAGCAGUGAGUCGGACAUUGGGGAGCCCUCGGAGCCCCGUGCGAGGAACGGCCCCAAGCAGGAGACGACAGCACGGCGCACGGCAGAGCUCAGCGCGGUCUAAGGCAGCGCUGCAGGCUGCAGCCCAGGGGCUGCCAAGGGGGGAGUGGAGAAGCCAAGUGUUUUGUCAGAAGUAUCAGCUGAUGGAAGCUGUAGCCAGAGAGAAAUUCCUGGUCUCCGGCGUUCCCACCUGUGUGACGGGUCAAUGACUUCCUACAGUGGGGUCCGGGGAUUAGUGGCCCCGCAGCGCAUGCAGCCCCGAACACUGGCCGAGGCUUGCAGAGGGAAGCAGAAAACAGGCUGCAAACACACCCAAACCUGCCCCUCGCUGCCAAAACCUCCCUGCUCUGCUCGUGGUGAUCAGAUGUCAGCCGGACAAACCGUCACCUGCACGUCCGUUCUGCAGGGGCACGGGGCCCCUCCACCUGGGAAAUGCAGGACAAGAGCCGAGAGCACCAGCUGGGUAUUUGCACCUUUGGCAUCACUUUGCACAGCCUCAGCAAGGGAAGGGGCGAGACCCUCCCCAUCUGCAACGCUGGCAUCACCUUGGGGUCUUAGCAAGUCCCUGGCCCUUGGCAAGGAUCAUUCUCCAAGCCCUUCUCAGCUCCCCCACAAAGGGAGGUGGGAGCUGUCUCCAAAUUGCCCCAAGACACCAAAUCCCCCUCCCUGAGGUCUCUGAGCCCCACUGACACCAGCCCUGCAGCUCACCCUGGCUCCAAACCUUGCUCCUGAGCCCUUGAGCAGGCUGACAAAGCCUGGUUAUACAAUCUCAGCCUCGCUGAGCAGACCCCAGCUGGUUUGGGGACGGCCACAGGCACCUCCACAGCAUGGAGCCUGCUCCGGGCUGGUGUCACACAGAGGUGGGUGGUGAAGAGCGUUUCCCUCACCCGACCACAAACCUCAAGGCGUCAUCUGCCCAGUGCAGUCCUCCCACAUCCCCUCUGCAGGCAGCUCCCUGACAACACGGGCACCCAGCUCAGCAGCGGCCCUUUGGAGAGUUUUUGGGGGACCCCAGCUCAGCCAGACCCAAACCCAGCCGUGGGCAAUGCUGAGGUCCUGCCGGGGGGGAGGCAUCUGCAAACCUUCAUCUGUGGCGUGGCAGCAGCAGGAGCAGCACCCGUGGGGUGUUUGGACACCCCAGCACUGCCCCAAAGGGAGCCAGGGGGACGCCCGGUGGGUUAAACCCCAACCUCCUCUUCACGUGCAGCAGGGUGAGGCUGCUUCGUCAGAAAACCCCAAGGAAGAUGAGUGAGAACUCCAGUGUCAUCGGAUGGAUCUCGUGCGGAGAAUGACUUACCCUGAAGGCUGGAGGCAUCUCUGGUGAGUUCCCCGAGCACGUUUACAGCUGACAGCCCCGACUUCUCCAGCCGCUGGUGCAAAGCAAGAAGCGGAGCCUCAUCGGGGAAGCAGCAGCCGCGCUGCCGGGCUGCUCGCGGGGGCCUCUGGCUCAACCAUCUCACCGCUUCCCCUUUCCGAAGACACGAACAAGCCCGCCUUGCCCAUGCUGCAGUUCCUCCGACGUCAGCCCUGGCACAGCCCCGCUGCUCUCUCCAGCCCUCGCAGGGGUCGGGGCUCCAGCAGAGUCCAGCAGCCCCCGUUGGGGGGGCCGCACACCCCAAACCUCCCGGCGCAGGGGCCCCGAGAGCUGCAGAACUGGUGAUGGCCACGAUGACAGCGAUUGCCGCAAACAGCUUCCUGUUCCGUUCGGAGAAAAACCGCUCUGCGUGCACCGUGAGAGCCUGGCACUAAGGGGCUGUGCCCAUGGGCUCGUUGCACCAUCGCUCGUUAGCCUCCUGCCAGGGGCAGCGGGGCCCAGCGCCGGGCUCCCACAAACGCAUCUUUCGUGGCGGGGUGGCUCUGGCAGACCCCACAGCCCAGCGGGUCUCAGGCUGAGAGAAGAUAAAGCGAUAGCAAAGAAACAAAGCACAGAGAUGACUGCGCCGGCUGAAUUUCUCUGUGCAGGUGAGGGGCAGACCCACAGGCACUCUGGCUCCAAAGCAAGGGGAGCGAGGGGCGAGGUGCUGGUCCUUGCCGCGUGCGGUCCGUCAGGCAGAGCCCCCAGCACAGCCUGGGCUCAGAUUUUCGGUGCGGCCGCCUGCUCUGUUCCACCGAGCCCUGGGGGCCACCGAGCGCACGCACCUCAUCCCACGGCCCCGAGCACACGCCAGCCCCAGCCAAGCCCUAAUCAGAACAAGAUCCGCUCACACUCCAAUUACUCAGAGACCGCAGCCUUGGCAGCGCUUGGGAUAGCAAUUAUCCAGUGCUCCAGGAAACCACCAGAGCAAAGAGGAAUUAAGGUUUAAUUUCUCUGAAGUCCACAAGAGCUCGGUGAGGAUCAGGGAUCAGGGAUCAGGACUGCUCCCAAACCAGGCAGCUGACGGGACGGUGCGGUGUCCUUACCACAAGAGAGGACCAGAGCUAAUCUCUUUCCUUUCUGGUGUCUGAUAUGGUUUGGGGGUUAGCAAAGCAGAGCUAUGCAUGCGGCCUGGAAGAGCGAUGAGGGAUGACGGCACGAGGGCUGGAUGAGUCUCAGCAUCCUCCCCCAGCAUCCACGACUUGAGAGCCCAGCAGGCAGCAAACCUCCCGUCACAGCAAGGUCAAGUUUUGUUAGGAUCUCCAGAGAACGACCUGUGCCAGAAAACGCAACUCCAAACCAUUUCAAAGUAUUGCUUUGUUUCUCAUGGCUCUUACAACACGAGAAAUCCAGGUGGGUUUGGAGAGGGCUGAGGUUGGGCUGAGCCGCUCCGUGUGCUCCUGCCCAACACAGGGCAGCGGGCGCAGAGCGGGGCUGGAUCCAGCUGCCUCGUCCAGCUCGGCGUGCAGAGGCACUAGGUGGCAUCAGCACUGCACAAUCUCCGUUAACCAACGUCAGCGCCCAGCCCAGCGCUGGGCCCAGGUGGCUGAUGAAACACUUGCUGGAAUUUACCAGGGACAGGGGGCGAGGAGUGUGCAGCGAGGGUUGACCUCGACCCCUCCAGGAAAAAAAAAAAAAAAAAAAAAAAAAAAAAAGCAUUUUUUGCAAAAAAAAAAAGUAAAAUCACACUACUCACUUUUACAGCCAUUUGUUGCGCAAGCAGCGGACGCUAUCCCCAGGUCUGAGGCCGGUGGGGCCCUGGCAGAGCCGAGCCCCAGCAGGCCGGGAGCAGCCCCGAGGUGCUCAGCUUGGUGCUGGUGAGGUGAGGAGCUGGGGCUGCAGCACAGCGAGGACACGAGGGACAAGGCACGGCAGGAGAGCAGGUACCUUUACCAAAAAGCUAAACGCAUCGAGAAGAAAAACAGCAGCAGCGAGUCCCCCGCCUCGCUGGUGCAGCUGAUCAGGAAGGAAAUCUCGCCUGUGAUAAAACGAAACAACGUUUAAGUCAGAAGAAAGAAAGAUUUUUACAUUUCCACAGCAGCUCGGUACAGAAGGCGAGGGGAGGUGGUUCCUGGUGCAAAUCCGGCCCCAGCUGCUCUGCCUCAGGACGGGGAUGAAGCCUCUGCGUUUCUGUCUCGCAGUUCUGCCUUUUAAAACUGCCUGCAUCCCCCUGAUGGGAAAGGAGCCUGGGUCUGUGCUCGGAGAAAUAGCAGCAUGAUGCUACGGAGCAGCAGCUCUCGCUGUUUUGGGCAGAAGGAAGCCCUUUACCAAUGUUUACUCAACAGCACCGAGCACCCUGCGGUGAGGAUGAGCCCGAAGCAUGUCGUGCACACCACGGGGCCGAGCUAAGUGAGCCUCGGACCACAAACCUGCAACGGGCAGAUCUGUGUUUGUUUUUUUCUUUUUUUCUUUUUUUUUUUUUUUUCCUUUUCUCAGCACCAUUCAUUUUGCAACUGAAAGUAUUACUUAUUCCAAGAUAUGAAUUUAAUGCUUUCUCUGUGGUAAAGCAGCAUCCAGCGCUGCACAGACAGCAGACACAAAAUGAGCAGUUAUUCUUGGAUAAUUUAUUCAGAAAUUUAAUAUAAACAGUUAAUUGUUCAAUAUUCUGACACACGGCAAGCGUUUUGUCUUAAUGCUCCAAGAUAUUUUCUGUACAUGUCACUGCUUGGCUCUUACAUAUGAAAACAUUGAAAAAAAAUAAAUCAAGGGGGAGGUUUUUUA